GAUGAACGCUGGCGGCGUGCCUAAUACAUGCAAGUCGAGCGAACAGACGAGGAGCUUGCUCCUUUGACGUUAGCGGCGGACGGGUGAGUAACACGUAGGUAACCUACCUAUAAGACUGGGAUAACUUCGGGAAACCGGAGCUAAUACCGGAUAAUAUUUCGAACCGCAUGGUUCGAUAGUGAAAGAUGGCUUUGCUAUCACUUAUAGAUGGACCUGCGCCGUAUUAGCUAGUUGGUAAGGUAACGGCUUACCAAGGCAACGAUACGUAGCCGACCUGAGAGGGUGAUCGGCCACACUGGAACUGAGACACGGUCCAGACUCCUACGGGAGGCAGCAGUAGGGAAUCCUCCGCAAUGGGCGAAAGCCUGACGGAGCAACGCCGCGUGAGUGAUGAAGGUCUUCGGAUCGUAAAACUCUGUUAUUAGGGAAGAACAAACGUGUAAGUAACUGUGCACGUCUUGACGGUACCUAAUCAGAAAGCCACGGCUAACUACGUG
rnacentral:rRNA from 1 species